CUUUGGUAUUUUGCAGACCAUGUUACACACUGUAACUUACACUUAACUAGAAGCAGUGGUUCUGGAGGCCAGAAUGAUAACGAAUGCCUGACCUUUUUCUUGUGCCUUUUUACCGUUCUUUGCAUACUAGUUUUUGGCUACUUUAUAUCUCAAUGCUUCACAUGUAUCUGUUCACUUCCUGUGAGAAAAUCUUACAGACGGUUUGUUUUUAACCUUCUCUCUGUUUUCCCUCGACAAAAGUAUGAAUGUGACUAUGUGAGUGUUAUCUCUGUCAUGUUUUAUUCUCUGCAGAGGCAACAUUGACCAUGCAUGCACUCGAGAAAAACUACAGGCGGUUAUUGAUAUAUAUUCCAUCUCCACCAUCGGAAGAACAAAAGAAGAAAAAAUUGUAAAGCUGGCUGCGAAAGCUGACAACAAUAAACGACUUAAAUGCAAGAAAGUUCUUUUAGAAAAGAAUUCUGCGAGAAGAAGCUGCGGCAGUUAUGGUGAUUAAACUUAAACAAUACUACAAUAGAGUCCAGGUUGAUUCUAAAGCUUUUAAACUUCAAAACUGGGAACCAAAUAAUAAAAGGUCCACUGAAAACCAA